UACAGAGGGUGCGAGCGUUAAUCGGAUUUACUGGGCGUAAAGGGCGCGUAGGCGGUUUAAUGAGUGUGAUGUGAAAGCCCUGGGCUCAACCUAGGAAGUGCAUCGCAAACGAUUGAACUGGAGUAUAUGAGAGGGUGGUGGAAUUUCCGGUGUAGCAGUGAAAUGCGUAGAGAUCGGAAAGAACGUCGAUGGCGAAGGCAGCCACCUGGCAUAAUACUGACGCUGAGGCGCGAAAGCGUGGGGAUCAAACAGGAUUAGAUACCCUGGUAGUCCACGCUGUAAACGAUGAUAACUAGAUGUUGGUAGGGGAACCUAUCGGUAUCGUAGCUAACGCGAUAAGUUAUCCGCCUGGGAAGUACGGCCGCAAGGUUGAA
rnacentral:rRNA from 1 species